rnacentral:snRNA from 1 species
GGAUAUGAGAUGAUUUGACUGCCACAUCGGUUAUCCCACUGAUUUCCAUGGUUGAUUCCGCACUGACUGGUGUCCCCUUCCUCCCUCACCACUCUAUGUGUAUCUCUCCUAAAACUGCACACUCAAAGAGGACAACCUUCCCCUAGAAAAGGACCAUUCUUCAGUCAAGGCUUUAGGAGAAGCUGUGUCACCUGCUGGAACCUUCAAAAUGGACAAGCAUAUUAAUGAAUAUAUAUCUUCUCUGCACUUUGUAAGA